CCUACGGGGGGCUGCAGUGAGGAAUAUUGGUCAAUGGACGAGAGUCUGAACCAGCCAAGUAGCGUGAAGGAUGACUGCCCUAUGGGUUGUAAACUUCUUUUAUAUGGGAAUAAAACGUUCCACGUGUGGGAUUUUGUAUGUACCAUAUGAAUAAGGAUCGGCUAACUCCGUGCCAGCAGCCGCGGUAAUACGGAGGAUCCGAGCGUUAUCCGGAUUUAUUGGGUUUAAAGGGAGCGUAGGUGGAUUGUUAAGUCAGUUGUGAAAGUUUGCGGCUCAACCGUAAAAUUGCAGUUGAAACUGGCAGUCUUGAGAACAGUAGAGGUGGGCGGAAUUCGUGGUGUAGCGGUGAAAUGCUUAGAUAUCACGAAGAACUCCGAUUGCGAAGGCAGUUCACUGGACUGCAACUGACACUGAGGCUCGAAAGUGUGGGUAUCAAACAGGAUUAGAUACCCUUGUAGUC
rnacentral:rRNA from 1 species